ensembl:lncRNA
GGCCUCAGGGCAGGACCAGCUGCAAAUGAACUCAGCAGGGCGAGGCCGCCAGGGCUCUCAGGGAAAACAUGGCGGUGACCCGGCCCUGAGGUCCCUGGAGAGUCAGCCACACAUGGGCCGAGGGGGCCGAGGCAGGCGAUUCCCUGAAAACGGCCUGACUGUGGAGUGCAGAGGGCCUGGGUGUGUGGACAUGGCUCCACAUUCUGAAGACUCGGGAAGCUGCCUUCCUGUCUUCAGGGCUGGAAAUCCACGAGUGAGUGCGUGCACAUUACUGAAUUGCCAAUGCAUCACACUAACUCCAUGUGAUGCUCCUGACAACACCAUGAAUUCAGUGAAAUCAGCUCCCUUUGUUCAGAUGAGGAAACAGAUCCUGGAGCUGUUUAUAAGAUUCAGAGCAGAUCUUCCCGACCCCAAGGGUCAAGUCAUGGAAAUUCAUUCUAAUCUUUGGGGUCACUGGUGACACCUGUCUC